GUCCCCGGCGUCCGGGCGCCCUGCAUGGAUCCCCCACCCCAGCUCCUGCUCCCCGGCGGCGGCCGGUGGGCAGAAAGACCGAAACCCACUCACGGCCGCCUGCCGAAUCGCGGCUCUGCUGUUUGUGGGGCGUGCUAGAAACGUGGUCCUAAAAAGAAUGGCGUCCAUUUACAUAAUGCUUUGUUUGCGUUUCGCAAGUUUCUUUCGGUUAAAGCCACAGAAACCCCACCUCCUGCCCUUGUGUCGUUUCCACCGCGGCACCCUUUUCCGACAUUAGAAACAAUAGUGUACGCCUGUGGAGGCCUCGUUUGUUCAGGGGCUGCCGGCCAGGGCUUCAGGACGUUUCUGCGGCUUUCCCCGCGCGGCCUGGGCUCCCGCGGCUGCUUUUCGGGCCCAUGGGCGCAGCCACUGCGCCAGGCUCAAGGGGGGCGGCCCCGUCAGGGCCCGCCAUCUUGGAAGGCCUUUUUUGCCGGUUCUUCCCGCUGAGGAAGUGUCGCUCAAGACGCUGGCCUAUGAGUUGUGAUUUCUGCCUUUUCCCCUUCCUCCUUGGGCUAAGCCAGACCAGAAAGGGCCCCGUGCGCAACGUGCUUCACAAUCUCUCAGGGAAAGCGGCUAACGUGGCGCUACUCCGCCUCCCCUGUUCCUUACCCUUGGGGCGGCCGCCAUGUUUCCUGAACACAAAAUGGCGACACGUGGUUAGCAUUCGUCGCCAACGAGAAAUUGGGGUCGGCCCGAAAGCUCUAGAAUGCACCCCUCUUCCUCCCCGGGGCCUUCCACCUCCGCGAGUUUUAUGACUUAAAAAAGCCCACAGGCUGGUCUGAAGGUCGGAGGCCUAAUUUUAACGCGUUUUCCUCCCUUUAAUUUGAAACGGGAACGCGAAUGACUGUAAAAUGUGGGCACAAUAUUUAAUCUCUCGCCUUUUUAAAGCUUAAUAGUGGAUAAUAGGGGGGCAGUAUCAAGGGAUAAUUUGGGUCCCCACAGUACCAAAGCAUUUAGAAACCUCUGUUUAAUUUAAGGAAUGAGAUAAGUUACUGCUUUUCUAGACUUCCUAGCAUGGGCUGUUGUGCUGGAGAGAACGAGAGCUACGAAGAGACUACAGUGCCUCUGACUUUUUCAUAGGACAGUUGGCCGAGGAAGACAAACAUAAAGAUGAAGUGCUUAAUUCAAGGUCACACAAUGUCGGGGAUGGACCUCCAGAUUUCCUUACUGACCUGCAUUAUCUUGUGGAUACCUGAGUGAAUUCCACACCACCCAUUUUAUAGAUGAAACCACUGAGACAUGGAGCAAUUGACUGAGUAGUCACUGCCCCACCCCUGCCUGGAGCCUCACACAUGACUCGCCUCCUCUCAGUGACCACAGGUGAGACGUGGUCUUGUAACACAGUGGUUAAGAAUGUGACUUUGGAGCCAGCCUGCUAGGGGCUGAAUUCUGACUCAGCCAUUUACUAACUGUGUGACCUUAGGCUGGAGUGCAAUGGCAUGAUCUCGGCUCAUCACAACCUCUGCUUCCUGGGUUCAAGCGAUUCUCCUGCCUCAGCCUCCCGAGUACCUGGGACUACAGGCACUCGCCACCAUGCCCGGCUGAUUUUUGUAUUUUUAAUAGAGAUGGUUUCACUAUGUUGGCCAGGCUGGUCUCGAACUCCUGACCUUGUGAUCUGCCCACCUCAGCCUCGAAAAGUGCUGGGAUUACAGGCGUGAGCCACUGCGCCCAGCCUUGUAUUUUUUUUCAGUUUGGGUAGCUGUCCCUAAUUCAUUUGUUAAAGGAGAAGCAAGAGCAAGAACCUUUAAUCUGUUCUCCUCUUCCCUAAUUUGAAAGUAGCUUGUUAUUUUGAAUAUCACUUUCUCUGAAAUAGCACAUCUCCAUCUCAGAGAAUGGAUUUAAUGUUUGGAUACAGCCAAAAGUCAUUUCAUUACCAAACCAUGGGGUGAAUAUACCAUGUAAAGCAGUUUGGGAUCAGAACUCACAGUCUGAAUUGUAAGUGAUGAGACUGCUGUCUCUCUGCUACAGCUUCUUGGCUGGCUCUGAAGGCUCUUUGAAGGCAGAUCCUAACAAGGGGACUGCUUUGAAGGGCCAUUGUUCAUUUGGAAUGAUAAAGUCUAUGUUGUUCAAAAAACAAAUGCUUGUAGCAGGUAUUUUUUCACUCCAGACUGAGAAUAUUGGUGGGAUAUUGAUAAGGGGUACUGAAUGGUAAUAAACAUGUGCUCUAGCUCUGUGCUAGUCAGCUUAUUUCAGAACUCUAGUUUGAUUCAGUUUCUUGCCUCUGACUCAAAAUGGAGGGAGAGUGAUUUUUACAUAAGAGAACACACCCACAUAUCCUUUUGGCAGCAGCUACCUGCCAGAGAUGUUGAAGAAGAGUAGCCAACCUUUACACAGCAGAUAUUGUGUGCCAGUCAUAGUCCUAAGUAUAAUACCUUACAUGUAUAAACUUCUUAUAAGGUUGGUGCUCUGUACCGAAUUGAAUAGUAUCCCCCAAAAUUCAUGUUGUCCCAGAACCUAUGAAAGUGAUCUUACUUGAGGGAGGGGGGAGGGGGGAGGGAUAGCAUUAGGAGAUAUACCUAAUGCUAAAUGACGAGUUAAUGGGUGUAGCACACCAGCAUGGCACAUGUAUACAUAUGUAACUAACCUGCACAUUGUGCACAUGUACCCUAAAACUUAAAGUAUAAUAAUAAUAAAAUAAAAAAAAAAAAGAAAGUGAUCUUACUUGGAAAUAAGGUCUUUGCACAUAUGAUCAAGUUGAGAUGAAGUUGUACUGGAAAGUCUGUCUAGUGACUGGUGUUGUCAUAAGAAGAGAGGGACACAGAGGGAAGAUGGCCACAUGAAGAUGGAGGCAGAGAUUGCAGUUAUGCUGCUGCAAACUAAGGAAUGGCUCUGGCCCUCCAAGGAUUGCUGAUAACCACCAGAAACUAGAAGAGACAAGGAAGGAUUCUUCCCUAGAGCCUUCAGAGGGAGCAUGGCCCUACUGACACCUGGAUUUCAAACUUGUAGCUUCCUAAACUGCAAGAGAAUAAAUUUCUGUUGUUUUAAGCCA
rnacentral:lncRNA from 1 species